CCGUCCCUCCCCUUAAAGCAGCCGCCGGGACCGGGCGGCCGCCGCGCCUGCACGGAGCAUCCCGGUACGGGACAUCCUCCCGACACGGAGCAUCCCAGAUAUGGAGGGUCCCCGGUAGAGACCAUCCCCAGCGUGGAGCAUCCCUGGUACAGAGCAUCCCAGUACGGGGCAUCCUCCCAGCACUGAGCAUCCUGGAUACGGAUGAUCCCCGGUACGGGGCAUCCCUAGUAUCCUGUACCAGGACCACUCCGGUACAGAGCAUCCUGCCGGCGUGGAGCAUCCUCAGGGCACAGAGCAUCCCAGGUACAGGGAGCAUCAUCCUGGCUCGGAGCAUCCCAGGAACUGAAGAGACCCUUCUGACUUCAGAAGUUGUCUUCAGCACGUGGUUAUGCAGUUACCUGAUCAGCACUGUAGCUAAUUCUUCAUCAGUCCCAACACGCUUAAUUGAAUAACCACGGAUCAGCUCCGUUCCUGAUUCACUGCUGAACGCAACACAAGGCAUCUCCAUCAUCUGGAAGUGCGACAAACUUCCAUGCCUGUAUCCUGGCCGGCAGAGAAGAUCUCCCUUUCUGAUUCAGCCCAGCCCAGCCCACCCGGAAGCCCAGACUGACAUUACACUUAGGCACAAACAAGCCCGCACACUUCACACCACCACGAUUCUCUGAUGACGACUUUGGAUGUUAUCAGCAGGGCAUAAAGCUACUCACAGCAUUAAAGCCUGUCC